CAAGUCGAACGCGAAAGUGGAGCAAUCCAUGAGUAGAGUGGCAAACGGGUGAGUAACACGUGGGUGACCUGCCUUCGAGUGGGGGAUAACGUCCCGAAAGGGACGCUAAUACCGCAUGACAUGCUGUCUUUGAACAGAUGGACAUCAAAGCCGGGGAUCGCAAGACCUGGCGCUUGAAGAGGGGCCCGCGCCUGAUUAGCUAGUUGGUGGGGUAAUGGCUCACCAAGGCAACGAUCAGUAUCCGGCCUGAGAGGGCGGACGGACACACUGGGACUGAGACACGGCCCAGACUCCUACGGGAGGCAGCAGUGGGGAAUUGUUCGCAAUGGGCGAAAGCCUGACGACGCAACGCCGCGUGGAGGAUGAAGAUCUUCGGGUCGUAAACUCCUUUCGAUCGAGACGAACGGCCCUCGGGUUAAUACCCUGAGGGAGUGACGGUACCGAGAGAAGAAGCCCCGGCUAACUCCGUGCCAGCAGCCGCGGUAAUACGGGGGGGGCAAGCGUUGUUCGGAAUUACUGGGCGUAAAGGGCUCGUAGGCGGCCAACUAAGUCAUACGUGAAAUCCCCCGGCUUAACCGGGGAACUGCGUCUGAUACUGGAUGGCUUGAGUUCGGGAGAGGGAUGCGGAAUUCCAGGUGUAGCGGUGAAAUGCGUAGAUAUCUGGAGGAACACCGGUGGCGAAGGCGGCAUCCUGGACCGAUACUGACGCUGAGGAGCGAAAGCCAGGGGAGCAAACGGGAUUAGAUACCCCGGUAGUCCUGGCCCUAAACGAUGAAUGCUUGGUGUGGCGGGUAUCGAUCCCUGCCGUGCCGAAGCUAACGCAUU
rnacentral:rRNA from 1 species